rnacentral:lncRNA from 1 species
UCGGUACAGUUAAAUCUGUAAACAUAGCACAGUUUGCUUAAAAAUAAAAAAUAAAAAAUUUCCAGUAGCUGUUUUCUGUUUUCUUUAAUCUACUCUAGCACUUUUCUUUAGGACUCUUUUUGUGUGCCUUCUUUAUUCAUUGAGUUCCUUAUUUUUCUUGAUUGUCUUUCAUUCAUAUUCUUUUUAGUUUGUCAUACAUUACUCUCUGUUUUUGGUUUAGCUUUUAUUGUUUACACCUUUUUCUUGCUUGUCUUUUUGUUCUUCUUAAAAGUUGUGUGGAGACUUGUUCUUAAGUAAGUUGGUUUGCUGUAACAUAUUUCACUUGAAGCUACUCCAUUUCACAAGCAAGGCUUGGUUGAGGACAGAAUAUUUUCUUGGAGUGGUUUGAGUGCUUUCUUGGGCAUUUUUCCAGCAACCUAUAUCUCACUGUUUUUAAUUGUUUAACAAGUUUCUUUCACUGUUUUGUUUUCUGUUUUUGUGUAUUUUCUGCUCAUGGCUCAUUUCUCUAGUGGAGAGUCCUCCAAACCGUGCUCUCCACAAAAGGCAGCCCUUUAUGAGGACUUAAAGAAUGCCAAGCAAUCCAAUGCUCACUAUCUUGAGGUGAUAAGGAAGAUGGAAGUACGGCUCCAAAGUUUGGAGUUAAACCGAGAGGAAAUGCAUCAAAACCGUGAG